GAGAGGGAGCCUGACAAAUGGCUACCACAUGCAAGGAAGGCAGMAGGCCCGUAAAUUACCCAAUCCUGAUACAGGGAGGUAGUGACAAUAAAUAACAAUGCCGGGCCAUCAUUGGUCUGGCAAUUGGAAUGAGAACAAUUUAAAUCCCUUAUCGAGGAUCAAUYGGAGGGCAAGUCUGGUGCCACCAGCCGC
rnacentral:rRNA from 1 species